rnacentral:rRNA from 1 species
AAGCCCGCUCGCCGGAAGACCAAGGGUUCCUGUCCAACGUUAAUCGGGGCAGGGUGAGUCGACCCCUAAGGCGAGGCCGAAAGGCGUAGUCGAUGGGAAACAGGUUAAUAUUCCUGUACUUGGUGUUACUGCGAAGGGGGGACGGAGAAGGCUAUGUUGGCCGGGCGACGGUUGUUCCGGUUUAAGCGUGUAGGCUGGUUUUCCAGGCAAAUCCGGAAAAUCAAGGCUGAGGCGUGAUGACGAGGCACUACGGUGCUGAAGCAACAAAUGCCCUGCUUCCAGGAAAAGCCUCUAAGCAUCAGGUAACAUCAAAUCGUACCCCAAACCGACACAGGUGGUCAGGUAGAGAAUACCAAGGCGCUUGAGAGAACUCGGGUGAAGGAACUAGGCAAAAUGGUGCCGUAACUUCGGGAGAAGGCACGCUGAUACGUAGGUGAAGCGACUUGCUCGUGGAGCUGAAAUCAGUCGAAGAUACCAGCUGGCUGCAACUGUUUAUUAAAAACACAGCACUGUGCAAACGCGAAAGUGGACGUAUACGGUGUGACGCCUGCCCGGUGCCGGAAGGUUAAUUGAUGGGGUUAGCCGCAAGGCGAAGCUCUUGAUCGAAGCCCCGGUAAACGGCGGCCGUAACGAUAACGGUCCUAAGGUAGCGAAAUUCCUUGUCGGGUAAGUUCCGACCUGCACGAAUGGCGUAAUGAUGGCCAGGCUGUCUCCACCCGAGACUCAGUGAAAUUGAACUCGCUGUGAAGAUGCAGUGUACCCGCGGCAAGACGGAAAGACCCCGUGAACCUUUACUAUAGCUUGACACUGAACAUUGAGCCUUGAUGUGUAGGAUAGGUGGGAGGCUUUGAAGUGUGGACGCCAGUCUGCAUGGAGCCGACCUUGAAAUACCACCCUUUAAUGUUUGAUGUUCUAACGUUGACCCGUAAUCCGGGUUGCGGACAGUGUCUGGUGGGUAGUUUGACUGGGGCGGUCUCCUCCUAAAGAGUAACGGAGGAGCACGAAGGUUGGCUAAUCCUGGUCGGACAUCAGGAGGUUAGUGCAAUGGCAUAAGCCAGCUUGACUGCGAGCGUGACGGCGCGAGCAGGUGCGAAAGCAGGUCAUAGUGAUCCGGUGGUUCUGAAUGGAAGGGCCAUCGCUCAACGGAUAAAAGGUACUCCGGGGAUAACAGGCUGAUACCGCCCAAGAGUUCAUAUCGACGGCGGUGUUUGGCACCUCGAUGUCGGCUCAUCACAUCCUGGGGCUGAAGUAGGUCCCAAGGGUAGGGCUGUUCGCCAUUUAAAGUGGUACGCGAGCUGGGUUUAGAACGUCGUGAGACAGUUCGGUCCCUAUCUGCCGUGGGCGCUGGAGAACUGAGGGGGGCUGCUCCUAGUACGAGAGGACCGGAGUGGACGCAUCACUGGUGUUCGGGUUGUCAUGCCAAUGGCACUGCCCGGUAGCUAAAUGCGGAAGAGAUAAGUGCUGAAAGCAUCUAAGCACGAAACUUGCCCCGAGAUGAGUUCUCCCUGACUCCUUGAGAGUCCUGAAGGAACGUUGAAGACGACGAC